CAGUCGCCACGGUAAAACGGAGGGUGCAAGCGUUAAUCGGAAUUACUGGGCGUAAAGCGCACGCAGGCGGUCUGACAAGUCAGAUGUGAAAUCCCCGGGCUUAACCUGGGAACUGCAUUUGAAACUGUCAGGCUGGAGUCUUGUAGAGGGGGGUAGAAUUCCAGGUGUAGCGGUGAAAUGCGUAGAGAUCUGGAGGAAUACCGGUGGCGAAGGCGGCCCCCUGGACAAAGACUGACGCUCAGGUGCGAAAGCGUGGGGAGCAAACAGGAUUAGAUACCCCUGUAGUCCCUGUCUCUUAUAA
rnacentral:rRNA from 1 species